GGGAAUCUUGCGCAAUGGGCGAAAGCCUGACGCAGCCAUGCCGCGUGAAUGAUGAAGGUCUUAGGAUUGUAAAAUUCUUUCACCGGGGACGAUAAUGACGGUACCCGGAGAAGAAGCCCCGGCUAACUUCGUGCCAGCAGCCGCGGUAAUACGAAGGGGGCUAGCGUUGCUCGGAAUUACUGGGCGUAAAGGGCGCGUAGGCGGACAUUUAAGUCAGGGGUGAAAUCCCAGAGCUCAACUCUGGAACUGCCUUUGAUACUGGGUGUCUUGAGUGUGAGAGAGGUAUGUGGAACUCCGAGUGUAGAGGUGAAAUUCGUAGAUAUUCGGAAGAACACCAGUGGCGAAGGCGACAUACUGGCUCAUUACUGACGCUGAGGCGCGAAAGCGUGGGGAGCAAACAGGA
rnacentral:rRNA from 1 species